AACGAACGCUGGCGGCAUGCCUAACACAUGCAAGUCGAACGAGACCUGCGGGUUUAGUGGCGCACGCGUGCGUAACGCGUGGGAACCUGCCUUUAGGUUCGGAAGGACUCCCCGAAAGGGGUGCUAAUACCGGAUAAUGUCCUCGGACCAAAGAUUGAUCGCCAUUGGAUGGGCCCGCGUUGGAUUAGCUAGUUGGUAGGGUAAAAGCCUACCAAUGCGACGAUCGAUAGCUGGUAUGAGAGGAUGAGCAGACACACUGGUAGUGAGACACGGCCCAGACUCAUACGGGAGGCAGCAGUGGCGAAUACUGGAAAAUGGGCGAAAGGCUGAUCCAGCAAUGCCGCGUGAGUGAUGAAGGUCUUAGGGUUGUACAGCUAUUUUACACGGGAUGAUAAUGACAGUACCGGGAGAAUAAGCACCGGCUAACUCCGUG
rnacentral:rRNA from 1 species